rnacentral:rRNA from 1 species
GCAGCAGAUCUCCUUCGGGAGUGACGCUUGUGGAACGAGCGGCGGACGGGUGAGUAACACGUGGGCAACCUACCUGUAAGACUGGGAUAACUCCGGGAAACCGGGGCUAAUACCGGAUGAAACAAAGCGUCGCAUGACGCAAUGUUAAAAGGCGGCAUAUGCUGUCACUUACAGAUGGGCCCGCGGCGCAUUAGCUAGUUGGUGAGGUAAAGGCUCACCAAGGCAACGAUGCGUAGCCGACCUGAGAGGGUGAUCGGCCACACUGGGACUGAGACACGGCCCAGACUCCUACGGGAGGCAGCAGUAGGGAAUCUUCCGCAAUGGACGAAAGUCUGACGGAGCAACGCCGCGUGAGUGAUGAAGGUUUUCGGAUCGUAAAACUCUGUUGUUAGGGAAGAACAAGUGCCAUUCGAAUAGGUUGGCACCUUGACGGUACCUAACCAGAAAGCCCCGGCUAACUACGUGCCAGCAGCCGCGGUAAUACGUAGGGGGCAAGCGUUGUCCGGAAUUAUUGGGCGUAAAGCGCGCGCAGGCGGUCCUUUAAGUCUGAUGUGAAAGCCCACGGCUUAACUGUGGAGGGCCAUUGGAAACUGGAGGACUUGAGUACAGAA